rnacentral:rRNA from 1 species
ACUUUAAGUAUCCUAAAGGGUUGUUCAAGACUAGAACGUUGAUAGGCAGGGUGUGUAAGCGUUGUGAGGCGUUGAGCUAACCUGUACUAAUUGCCCGUGAGGCUUAACCAU